rnacentral:rRNA from 1 species
AUUGAACGCUGGCGGCAUGCCUUACACAUGCAAGUCGAACGGUAGCGGGCCUUCGGGUGCCGACGAGUGGCGAACGGGUGAGUAAUGCAUCGGAACGUGCCAUUGAGUGGGGGAUAACGUAGCGAAAGUUACGCUAAUACCGCAUAUUCUGUGAGCAGGAAAGCAGGGGACCGCAAGGCCUUGCGCUCUUUGAGCGGCCGAUGUCAGAUUAGCUAGUUGGUGAGGUAAAGGCUUACCAAGGCGACGAUCUGUAGCGGGUCUGAGAGGAUGAUCCGCCACACUGGAACUGAGACACGGUCCAGACUCCUACGGGAGGCAGCAGUGGGGAAUUUUGGACAAAUGGGGGGCAACCCUGAUCCAGCCAUGCCGCGUGAGUGAAGAAGGCCUCGG